rnacentral:rRNA from 1 species
UACGUAGGUGGCAAGCGUUGUCCGGAAUUAUUGGGCGUAAAGCGCGCGCAGGCGGCCUUUUAAGUCUGAUGUGAAAUCUUGCGGCUCAACCGCAAGCGGCCAUUGGAAACUGGGAGGCUUGAGUACAGAAGAGGAGAGUGGAAUUCCACGUGUAGCGGUGAAAUGCGUAGAUAUGUGGAGGAACACCAGUGGCGAAGGCGGCCACCUGGACGGUAACUGACGCUGAGACGCGAAAGCGUGGGGAGCAAACAGG